AUUGAACGCUGGCGGCAGGCAUAACACAUGCAAGUCGAACGAGUGGCGGACGGGUGGGUAAUGACUGGGAAACUGCCUGAUGGAGGGGGAUAACUACUGGAAAAGGUAGAUAAUAACGCGUACCAUCGGGUGUGCCCAGAUGGGACUAGCUAGUAGGUGGGGUAAAGGCGAACCCGGGCGACGGUCCCUAGCUGGUCUGAGAGGAUGACCAGCCACCCGGGAACUGAGACACGGUCCAGACUCCUACGGGAGGCAGCAGUGGGGAACAUUGCACAAUUGGCGCAAGCCUGAUGCAGCCAUGCCGCUUGUAUGAAGAAGGCCUUCGGGUUGUAAAGUACUUUCAGCGGGGAGGCGUUACCCGCAGAAGAAGCACCGGCUAACGCCGUGCCAGCAGCCGCGGUAAUAC
rnacentral:rRNA from 1 species